rnacentral:rRNA from 1 species
UACGUAGGCAGCGAGCGUUGUUCGGAGUUACUGGGCGUAAAGAGUGCGUAGGCGGUUUUCUAAGUUUGGGGUGAAAUCUCCCGGCUUAACUGGGAGGGUGCGCCGAAGACUGGAAGGCUUGAGUAUGGGAGAGGUAAGCGGAAUUCCUGGUGUAGCGGUGAAAUGCGUAGAUAUCAGGAGGAACACCUGCGGUGUAGACGGCUUACUGGACCAUCACUGACGCUGAGGCACGAAAGCGUGGGUAGCAAACAGG